rnacentral:rRNA from 1 species
GAUGAACGCUGGCGGCGUGCCUAAUACAUGCAAGUCGAGCGAACAGACGAGGAGCUUGCUCCUCUGACGUUAGCGGCGGACGGGUGAGUAACACGUGGAUAACCUACCUAUAAGACUGGGAUAACUUCGGGAAACCGGAGCUAAUACCGGAUAAUAUAUUGAACCGCAUGGUUCAAUAGUGAAAGACGGUUUUGCUGUCACUUCUAGAUGGAUCCGCGCCGCAUUAGCUAGUUGGUAAGGUAACGGCUUACCAAGGCAACGAUGCGUAGCCGACCUGAGAGGGUGAUCGGCCACCCUGGAACUGAGACACGGUCCAGACUCCUACGGGAGGCAGCAGUAGGGAAUCUUCCGCAAUGGGCGAAAGCCUGACGGAGCAACGCCGCGUGAGUGAUGAAGGUCUUCGGAUCGUAAAACUCUGUUAUUAGGGAAGAACAAAUGUGUAAGUAACUAUGCACGUCUUGACGGUACCUAAUCAGAAAGCCACGGCUAACUACGUG